UGAUUGUCCAAACGCAAUUCUUGUUCAAUUGUAAACUUCAAGAACUGUGUAUGGACAUCAGU
rnacentral:pre_miRNA from 1 species